CACACACUCGUGGCAUCUCUGGGGGGCAAAUGAAUGGUUGCUCUCUAAAACUAUGUCAUGCUAAAAUAUGACUAAUGUGUUUUGUUGUAGAUGCCGCGUCCAAGCAAGCAGUCCAAGGCAGCCAAGCGGCGCUUAGACCUGGGGUCUGCUGCCGAGGUCGCGCUUCCUCGUAAAAUUAAAGUUGCCAAGGUCGCGCUUCCUCGUAAAAUUAAAGUUGCCGAGGUCGCGCUUCCUCGUAAAAUUAAAGUUGCCGAGUUUGCGCUAAUUCGUAAAAGUCAAGUUGCCGAGGUCGCGCUUCCUCGUAAAAACAAAGUUGCCGAGAUGGCGCUUCCUCGUAAAAAACAAGUUGCCUCCAAAACUCUGCCAAAACUCUGCCAACAUUCUGCCAACAUUUUGCCAACAAUUUGCCAACAAUCUGCCAAAACUCUGCCAAAACUCUGCCAAAACUCUGCCAAAAUUCUGCCAAAUGACCUGCCAAAUACUGUGAAUUACAUGAAAGACGAUAAUGUUACCGAUGAUUGUUUGAUUCUGCCUGUUGACAGAUCUGUGCUGAUGGGGUCGUUUCAUCAAGAUGAUUUACAGUUCGGAAAGGAUCGCAACAAGCAAUGUGGUGCCAUCAGUCUGACUGCAGUUCUGAAGUCCAAUCUGAGUGACGUGUGGACCUGGACGAGCAGAGAUCUCGAUGAUGUUUUGAUUAAGGGAACUGUACUUUACAGAUCAAUGAAUGCACAGCGUCUAAUAAGAGACCAAGAAAGAGGUUACAUUGCUGUGUCUGAAUUGCCUAGACACUACAAAGUGUGGAAUACAAAUUUUGCAAUUAACUAUGCAGAGUCUUUCACUGGAUUGAUUCGUGUUGAUGACUAUGAUCAAAGUUUACGUGAUGUUGCUAUGCCUUUUGAUGAAGCACUCCAGCGUUCACUAUAUGGUAAUGAUGCUUGUUUGUUAACCAUUUGUGCUAAUACAUGUGCAAUAGUCAAUGGAAGAGGCAAGUUUGCAUUUGUUGAUUCACAUAUAAACUCAAAUGUCAACAGGAAAGGUCGAAGGGCAAGCUGUGUUUCAUACUUCAACUGUUUACAGACCCUGAUCCGUCAUGUGUAUGACUUUGCAGAACGGUUUGGCGGAAGUACACCCCGAUUUGAGGCAACAGGUGUGAAAGCUGCAAUAAUCCAUGUCGACCCUGACAACGCCAACUACAGUACAAUGCAUUUGUUACAGCUCGUCUUUGACCUUGACAAACAUCCUGGGAGGAAACUCAUCAUGGGAGACUUCAAUGAGGAUAUCUUUGUGUCGUCUACCAUUGCCAAGUUACUGGAACAGCAUGGGUACAGUCAACACGUGCACACAGCCACAACUGAAAAAGUACAAUGAGGAUGUUUUCAGCAGUAAAAACAGUGUUUUGUAAUCCUUAUACUUCAUGAAAAUAGAAUGGAUGUGUAUGAAGGCAAGCAAUGUAAUGGAAGUUUCAACAGAAAACCAAAGAAAAAACGUUUAGAUAUGAGCAUGGCUGAAUAAGGUGAACCGGUGAUUUUAUUAGUAAUGCUCGGAUUAAUUUUUAUGCCAGUGGAUCAUGUCUGUGCUUCAACAAUCGAGUGUUAUCUGUAAUGUUGAAAAAAAACACGACAAACAAAUGUAGUUUAAAUUGUUGCAAAGGAAUACAUUGACUUGUGAACAUUAAGCAGUGAUGCUACCUCAACAGACCUGAUGUGCACUUUUCAGGGAUAAAACAGGACACAUUUUUCUUAACAAAAUAGAGAAUUGCCUACUGCAUCCCAGAACACUACUGUUAAGAGUGAUGCAAAUAAUUGGCAUAAUGUACAUCUGUAUUUGAUGCUUUCCACUUGUGAUCCAUUUCUGUAAACACGGUCUUGUAAGCAAAGGGAUUGGGGUUACUUUACUAUUUAGUA
ensembl:lncRNA